rnacentral:snRNA from 1 species
AUACUAACCUUGCGUAGGGUGUACCGUGAUCACGAAGGCGGUUGCCCCGGGCGGACUCCGGCCAUUGCACUGCGGCCGGGAGUAGUCCGUCUGUGACUAUCCCAAAUAGGGGUACGUCGUACGUGUAAUUUUUGGUAGUUGGACUUGCGUUCUGCGCGGUCCUC